rnacentral:lncRNA from 1 species
CAGAUAAUGUAACUACAGGCCCGUUUGGGAGGUGCUCAGGCUUUAAGGGGGGGGGGGGGUAACGUGUCAGUGAUGUGAUCUGAGUGAAAGGGUGCGUCGCCACGGUGACGGACGCUCACCCAGGCACAGCAGGAGGUCCGUGAAGAGGAAGCUAAAUUAGUCUGCUUUUCUACAAACAAGCUUGGAAACACUCUUUAAGAAGAACAAGCGCCAAUCAGGAAGAGAAAAUUAUACAGUAAUUAUUGUAAAUAGAAACAACUUAGGAGACAGAAAACAUUAAUAAAUACAUAAUUCUGUCCAUCUUCCCGUCAAUUAUCAUUUCCAUCACAGUGAAGACUGAGCAUCUCCCCAGCUGCUGCUCUAAAAUACCCAAAUUUUCACCAACUGACUGGGCAAGACCAUGGAGAACCCGACCAGCCAGCGGUAAACCGGAGUGAGUGAAAACUCUGAGAUUUCAGGACACUGAACGUGAUUGGUGUCUGAAAAAUGAUGAUCUUUGAAUUCUAAAGAGGAAGCUUUUCUCAGUCAGAGUUUUGAAAUUUUCCGUUCUCUGCCUGACACAGGGUGAGUCAAAAUGGGUCCUUUGUUUUCUAUCUUUAAAAAAAAAAAGUCUCAUUGUAAUCAAUAAGCAAAACAACAAUAGACAUAUUCGUUUGUCAGCCUUUCUGUGACUGGCUGGAGAAUAUGCGCUCAUUCUCUCUCUGAUGUCAGGCAGAUGAAUACUGACACUGUGUUCUAAUAAUGAUGACUAAUGAGCAGUGACAUGCUGCCCCAGUGACCCGUGGUGGGACAUGAUUGCCUGUCUUUCAGGAGAAUAAUGAGCAGAUAGAACCCGCUCAGAACUGGAUCUAAGCGAAGGCUUUGCUCCAGAAACAGCAUUUUGGGACCCUAAAGCUGCCUUUUUGGAGGUUUCAAAGAAGUUGUAUUGUUUGAGCUAUUUGAAAAACAAAAUGGGGUUAACGGGGUCAUAAACAUAUGUGACUUUGCCCUUUAAUGGUCAUUGUUAUAACCAACACACCAACUGUUUGUCAUGAUAAAAGGUAAGUAAUAAUCUGAAAGAACAAUGUUAAGCUGUCGCUUGAGUUGCUUCAGAUUGAACGUAUUUGGUCAAAUCAAGCAAUUGUGAGCAAGACCAAGAAGCAUCCCAGCUGUUUCUGGUUUUACGCAGAAAGUUUCUGCCAG